UACGGAGGGUGCGAGCGUUGUCCGGAAUCAUUGGGCGUAAAGGGCGCGUAGGCGGCCCGGUCAGUUUGUGGUGAAAGCGCGGGGCUCAACUCCGCGUCGGCCAUGAAUACUGCUGGGCUGGAGCACUGUAGAGGCAGGCGGAAUUCCGGGUGUAGCGGUGGAAUGCGUAGAGAUCCGGAAGAACACCGGUGGCGAAGGCGGCCUGCUGGGCAGUAGCUGACACUGAGGCGCGACAGCGUGGGGAGCAAACAGG
rnacentral:rRNA from 1 species